rnacentral:rRNA from 1 species
GAAGGAUGAACCACUGAUUAUUAACAUAUUUGAUUAAAUCUAAUAGUAACACUUCAAGAAAAACCUAUUAACUUUUAUGUUAACCUAACACUAGAGCAUUUCAAGAAAGAUUAAAAGAAAAAGAAGGAACUCGGCAAAUAUCAACCUCGCCUGUUUACCAAAAACAUCGCCUCUUGAAUAAGAGGUCCAGCCUGCCCAGUGACUCAGUUUAACGGCCGCGGUAUCCUAACCGUGCAAAGGUAGCGUAAUCACUUGUUCUUUAAAUAAGGACUAGUAUGAAUGGCAUCACGAAGGUUGCACUGUCUCCUUUUUCUAAUCAGUGAAACUAAUCUUCCCGUGAAGAAGCGGGAAUAAACAUAUAAGACGAGAAGACCCUAUGGAGCUUUAAACUGAUUAUAAGUUUUCGGUUGGGGUGACCUCGGAGUAAAAAACAACCUCCGAGUAGUACGGGCUCCCUGAGCAAAAAGACUCGACUUUACGCACCAAAAAAUUGACUUCUAUUGACCCAAUAUUUUGAUUAACGAACUAAGUUACCCCGGGGAUAACAGCGCAUCCACUUCAAGAGCUCCUAUCGAC